AAGUCGUAACAAGGUCUCCGUAGGUGAACCUGCGGAGGGAUCAUUACCACGUUUCCAACGUAUCAACAAACCGCGAACUGUAACUGUAUUGGACUGCCGGUCCGUUUGGCGCCUUGAUGGGUCACUGGGCAACCAGUGACGUGCGCUAACGUUCUACCAGAUGCAACAAGCUGGAGGUCCUCCAAUGCAAAAUCAAAUGUCCCAUCAUAACCCCAUAUCUUAACGAUAUCACCUAUACCAAUUGACUAACCCCUUGACUUGCUGCUGGCAACGGCACAAGUUGAAUCGUAGUUUAUCAUAACUAAGUACAACUCUUAGCAACGGAUAUCUCGGUUCUC
rnacentral:misc_RNA from 1 species